GGGUGACCUCAGAUCAGGUAGGGAUACCCGCUGAACUUAAGCAUAUCAAUAAGCGGAGGAAAAGAAACCAACAGGGAUUGCCUCAGUAACGGCGAGUGAAGCGGCAAAAGCUCAGAUUUGAAAUCUGGCGUCAUUUUGGCGUCCGAGUUGUAAUCUGUAGAGGAGUAUUCGAGUGUGGCGCUGGCUUAAGUUCCUUGGAACAGGACGUCAUAGAGGGUGAGAACCCCGUUAACGGCCUUUGUCUUAUGCUCAUGUGAAUCUCCUUCAACGAGUCGAGUUGUUUGGGAAUGCAGCUCUAAAUGGGUGGUAAAUUCCAUCUAAAGCUAAAUACUGGCAAGAGACCGAUAGCGCACAAGUAGAGUGAUCGAAAGAUGAAAAGAACUCUGAACAGAGAGUUAAAUAGUACGUGAAAUUGUUGAAAGGGAAGCACUUGCUACCAGACACGCCUGUAGUUGAUCAACCUCCAUUUUUGGUGGUGCACUCAGCUAUAGGUGGGUCAGCAUCAGUUAUGGCGGUGGGAUAAAGACUUGGGGAACGUGGC
rnacentral:rRNA from 1 species